rnacentral:rRNA from 1 species
AUGGUGACGAUCGUCAACACCACGGAGGACGAGCCGAUGCUGGCGGUGGUGCGCUCCACGGCGGAGCUCGCCUGGGCCGACGUGGGCGCCGAGGCGCAGCAGCACGUCCUCGCCGGCCGCUGGCUCGACAUGGCUGCCCUCAUGUUCGCCUCCGCCGACCUCCUCCUCCUCGCCACACGCCUCUCCGACAAAGGCACCUCCCCCCUCCCCCUCCCCUCUCCUUCCCCAUCCCUAUCAAUUUCUUAUCUCGAGUGCUCCCUCACCGUGAUCUGCAACCUCGUCACCAAGGCCGGAUCCGAGGACGAGGCGCUGGAGAUCGCCAGGCUCAUCUGCGCCAAGCUCACCCACCAGCCGGGUGAGAAGCCCACGCUGCGCAUCAAAGUCCUGUUCAGCCUGUACAACCUACUGCCGAGCCUCUCCGGCAAGGCCUUGGUCUACAGGAAGGCGCUCGAGCUCGCCGCCGCCGGGAAGACCGCCGACUGCGUCGUGCCCACCUUCAAGAACAUCGACGCCUUUGUCGCCUACUGGGGCAUCGGCAAGCCGGAGCAGAGGGACCUGUUCCUUGCCGUCACCAGGAUUCUUAAAGACCAGAAGGGCAUGACCAAGGAGUACUUCAAGUUUCUGAACAAGUACCUGGCUACAUUCGAUGGUUCGUCUGAUGAGGCCGACGCAAUUGGUGCAGCGAAGGAAGAAGCUGCUGCAGCAAUCAUUGAGUUUGUCAAGUCAUCUGACCUCUAUCAGCAAUCAAAUAUCACUAUAUUAGAUACUCCUCUUCUGGUAUCCUUUCCUUUUUGGUUAAUACUUAGUCUGGUAUGUAAUUUCAGCCGGCAUACUGCGAGGGUCUUCGGGAUGCCACAAUGGCAGAGUCUACGUUCAAAGCUUGGAGUGUGGAGGGGAAACAUUGCAAAUGCUAUCAACACGAUCCAAGCUAACAAGGUGACUGAAGAUGGCGGGCAGGGGAUGCAAGGAUUGAUGAUCCGCUGA